UACGUAGGUGGCGAGCGUUGUCCGGAAUUACUGGGCGUAAAGAGCGCGCAGGCGGCUGGUCAAGUCCGAUGUGAAAUCUCCCGGCUUAACUGGGAAAUUGCAUCGGAAACUGAUCGGCUUGAAGGUGGGAGAGGGUAGCGGAAUUCCCGGUGUAGUGGUGAAAUGCGUAGAUAUCGGGAGGGAACACCAGUGGCGAAGGCGGC
rnacentral:rRNA from 1 species